rnacentral:tRNA from 1 species
GGGCCAGUAGCCUAGUCUGGACAGGGCGACAGCCUCCUAAGCUGUAGGUCGGGGGUUCAAAUCCCCCCUGGCCCG